UUGAGGAAGGCAGAGGCUGUCGGAACGUUCGGUGGAGCGGUGAAAUGCGUAGAUAUCGAACGGAACGCCGAAGGGGUAGCCAGGCAGCUGGGCCUUUCCUGACGCUCAGGCACGAAAGCGUGGGGAUCAAACAGGAUUAGAUACCCUGGUAGUCCACGCCGUAAACGAUGUGCACUAGCUUGAUGCGGAUCUGACUCCGUGUCGGGCGCCGAGAAAUCAUUAAGUGCACCGCCUGGGGAGUACGGUCGCAAGGCUAAAACUCAAAGGAAUUGACGGGGGCUCACACAAGCGGUGGAGCAUGUUGCUUAAUUCGAAGCAACGCGAAGAACCUUACCUGGGCUUGACAUGCAUGGAUUAGCUCUUGGAAACAUGAGUGACGCCCUCGGGUGGAACAUGCACAGGUGCUGCAUGGCUGUCGUCAGCUCGUGCUGUGAAGUGUCGGGUUAAGUCCCUUAACGAGCGCAACCCUUGUCGCUAGUUGCCAGCGCGUCAUGGCGGGGACUCUAGCGAGACUGCCGGUGUCAAACCGGAGGAAGGUGGGGAUGACGUCAAGUCCUCAUGGCCCUUACGCCCAGGGUGGCAAACGUGCUACAAUGGCCUGUACAGAGCGACGCAAUACCGCGAGGUGGAGCAAAUCGCAAAAAGCAGGCCCCAGUUCGGAUUGCAGUCUGCAACUCGACUGCAUGAAGCCGGAAUCGCUAGUAAUCGCGGAUCAGCCAUGCCGCGGUGAUACGUUCCUGAGCCUUGUACACACCGCCCGUCAAGUCAUGGAAGUCGGGAGUGCCCGAAGUUGCUCCGAUUCAGGAGUGCCCACGGCAAGUUCGGUGACUGGGACUAAGUCG
rnacentral:rRNA from 1 species